rnacentral:rRNA from 1 species
GACGAACGCUGGCGGCGUGCUUAACACAUGCAAGUCGAACGGUGAAGCGCCUUCCUUUUUGGUGGGUGUGGUUGCGUGGCGGACAGUUGCGUAACACGUGCGUAACCUGCCCCCUUCUACAGGAUAACCGCAUGAAAGUGUAGCUAAUACAGGAUAUUCUGCGUCUGGCGCAUGAUGGGUCUGGGUCAGAUAUUGUUUCGGUGGGGGCGGGUCUCGCGUCGUAUCAGCUUGUUGGUGGGGUGAUGGCCUACCAAGGCUGUUACGGGUCGAAGGCCUGGGAGGGUGGCCGGCCAGACUGGGACACAGACACGGUCGAGACUGAUACGGGAGGCAGAAGUGGAGGAUAUGGAACAGUGGGGAAAAGUCUGAUACAGCGACACCGCGUGAGGAAUGGCGCCGUUCGGGUUGUGAACCUCUUUCGGUAGUGAAGCAGGAUUGCCUGGUUUGAGGGUGGGUUGACGGUAGCUGGAUAAGAAGCGCCGGCUAACUACGUG